AUUGAACGCUGGCGGCAUGCCUUACACAUGCAAGUCGAACGGCAGCACGGGGGCGAACCCUCGGUGGCGAGUGGCGAACGGGUGAGUAAUACAUCGGAACGUGCCCCGUACGCGGGGACGAACCAGUCGAAGACUGGCUAAUACCGCAUACGCUCCACGGAGGAAAGACAGGGGAGUCGCAAGACCUUGCACUAUGGGAGCGGCCGAUGCCCGA
rnacentral:rRNA from 1 species